AUUGAACGCUGGCGGCAUGCUUUACACAUGCCAGUCGAACGGCAGCGCGGGCUUCGGCCUGGCGGCGAGUGGCGAACGGGUGAGUAAUACAUCGGAACGUGCCCAGUAGUGGGGGAUAGCUCGGCGAAAGCCGGAUUAAUACCGCAUACGACCUGAGGGUGAAAGCGGGGGAUCUUCGGACCUCGCGCUAUUGGAGCGGCCGAUGGCAGAUUAGCUAGUUGGUGGGGUAAAGGCCUACCAAGGCGACGAUCUGUAGCUGGUCUGAGAGGACAACCAGCCACACUGGGACUGAGACACGGCCCAGACUCCUACGGGAGGCAGCAGUGGGGAAUUUUGGACAAUGGGCGAAAGCCUGAUCCAGCAAUGCCGCGUGUGUGAUGAAGGCCUUCGGGUUGUAAAGCACUUUUGGCGGGAACGAAAAGGACUGUGCCAAUACCACGGUUCGAUGACGGUACCCGCAGAAUAAGCACCGGCUAACUACGUG
rnacentral:rRNA from 1 species